AGUUGUUGCGGUUAAAAAGCUCGUAGUUGGAUUUCUGUUGAGGACGACCGGUCCGCCCUCUGGGUGAGUAUCUCGGCUCGGCCUGGGCAUCUUCUUGGAGAACGUAGCUGCACUUGACUGUGUGGUGCGGUAUCCAGGACUUUUACUUUGAGGAAAUUAGAGUGUUUCAAGCAGGCAUAUGCCAUUGAAUACAUUAGCAUGGAAUACAAAUAUAAUUAUCGUAGAUUUAUAUGUGCGCCAACUUAUAUCGUCACAUUCUCUAAACGACAGAACUAGGGGCAUUCGAAUUUAACUGUCAGAGGUGAAAUUCUUGGAUUUGUUAAAGACGGACUUCUCCCCCCACGUACUCUUUUCUUCUUUCUAAGCAUCCCGAACGAAAGUUGGCCGUUUGGAGUUGGUUUCUAGGUAACGUCCCUUUUGUUGAACCUAAAUCCAUAUUUGAACUAGAGGAUGAUAGUAGGUACGUUGAUGUAGUAGAACUACCUUCAGCACCUUAUUGAGAAAAUCAAAGUUUUCCGGUUUCCGGGGGGAGGUAUGGUUGCAAGGGUGAAACCUAAAGGAAUGACGAAGGGCGCACAGGAGUGGAGCCUGCGGCUUAAUUUGACUCAACACGGGGAAACUUACCAGGUCCAGACAUAGUAAGGAUUGUACAGAUUGAUAGCUCUCUCGUGAUUUUAUGGGUGGUGGUGCAUGGCCGUUCUUACGAUUGGUGGAGUGAUUUGUCUGGUUAAUUCCGUUAACGAACGAGAUCUUAUCCUUGCUAAAUAGUUACGUGUACCUCCGUUUACGCGGGCAGCUUCUUAGAGGGACUUUGCGUGUCUAACGCAAGGAAGUUUGAGGCAAUAACAGGUCUGCUGAUGCCCUUAGAUCUUCUGGCGCUGCACGCGCGCAUAUCACUGAUGCGCUCAAAUGAGUUUAUAGUUCCUUGCGCACGGAAGGAUUGGGUAAUGCUCAGUAAAUCUCAUAUUGAUGGGGAUCGAUUAAGCAAUUAAUGAUCUUCAAUCGAGGAAGUCCUCAUAAGCAGUGAAUCAUCCAAGUCUGGCUCGACUAGUCUGCCCGACCUGCGUCACCCCGCGUGCGUACGCUCUAACCGAAAUGAGUGAUCCAGUGAAGUAACAACGAGCUGCGAUACACAGGCUGUACUCAACCGAGUGCGUACGAGUGAAGUACGUACUGUCUUAAUAG
rnacentral:rRNA from 1 species